GAUGAAGAACGUAGCGAAAUGCGAUAAGUAAUGUGAAUUGCAGAAUUCAGUGAAUCAUCGAAUCUUUGAACGCACAUUGCGCCCGCCAGUAUUCUGGCGGGCAUGCCUGUUCGAGCGUCAUUUCAACCAUCAAGCGCCUCGCUUGUGUUGGGGCCCUGCGGCUGCCGCAGGCCCCUAAAUCCAGUGGCGGGCUCGUCGUCGUACCGAGUGCAGUAAACAUCCUCGCUCAGGGAACCCGACGGGUGCCGGCCGUGAAACCCCCCCUCCUCAAGGUUGACCUCGGAUCAGGUAGGAAUACCCGCUGAACUUAAGCAUAUCAAUAAGCGGAGGA
rnacentral:misc_RNA from 1 species